rnacentral:lncRNA from 13 species
CACACCGCAAGUCCAUGGGGACACCCGAAUCUCCUGUGCUUGGUACCCCUCCAGCCCUCGCCCCGGCACCAGCCCUCGCCACGGGCACCUCCGCAUCUGGCCGCUCACUCGUGUUCCUCUCGUAUCCUCUCCAAGAAAGCAGCGGUGGCCUGGUGCUGUGGACGUCGCGGCUGCCUGGUUUGAACGUCCGGGGAUUACAUCUGUUUAUAGACCUGGCAAUGGUACAGGUCGUGUACGUAAAACAUCUUCUGAGGACAUUGGUGUACGGAUUGGUAUUCCUGUAGGGAGGACCACCCAGCUGUCAGCUUCGUCACAGCUCACGGUAAUCACAGCUCUCCUGGCUUUAGAUCUGUGGAGUGUGGAACAGUCGAAAUUUAAGUCUUCAAAACCUGCAUGUUCAGAGCGUCAAUAUCAUCGGUGUCCUGUAGUUUUGAUGGUAUUGCUGUUCGCUUGCUGCGCCGUGAGAGAGAAGCAGAGGAAACAGUGUGUGAUUAAGCCCGUCGGUUAUGACAAGGUAAGAGAAAUAACUUGGGGGAGGGUGAAAAUCGCACUCUGGUUCAAGGCCGUUUGGCUGAGGCACUCAGGAAAUGCACUGACGCAGACCCAGACUCCGCAGGACAAACUUUCCUGGGUAUACAUUUGAUUCCUGAGUCUGCCUCUGACAUGAUGAGGAAGUCAGAAAAAGCAGAAAUGGGACCUCAAACCCCUGUGAGCAAACUCCUAAACACAGCCUUCAAUGUUUAUAGCAAUGGGAACAGGGCAAAAGUGGCAGAAAUAAACGCAAGACAAACAGCCA